rnacentral:rRNA from 1 species
GACGAACGCUGGCGGCGUGCUUAACACAUGCAAGUCGAACGGAAAGGCCCUGCUUUUGUGGGGUGCUCGAGUGGCGAACGGGUGAGUAACACGUGAGUAACCUGCCCUUGACUUUGGGAUAACUUCAGGAAACUGGGGCUAAUACCGGAUCGGAGCUCCUGCUGCAUGGUGGGGGUUGGAAAGUUUCGGCGGUUGGGGAUGGACUCGCGGCUUAUCAGCUUGUUGGUGGGGUAGUGGCUUACCAAGGCUUUGACGUGUAGCCGGCCUGAGAGGGUGACCGGCCAAAUUGGGACUGAGAUACGGCCCAGACUCCUACGGGAGGCAGCAGUGGGGAAUAUUGCACAAUGGGCGGAAGCCUGAUGCAGCAACGCCGCGUGCGGGAUGACGGCCUUCGGGUUGUAAACCGCUUUCGCCUGUGACGAAGCGUGAGUGACGGUAAUGGGUAAAGAAGCACCGGCUAACUACGUG